GUUCACAGUUGAAAAAUAUCAUUGAUAUGGUAAUACAAUGAUUAAAUACUCAACUGUUGUGUUUCUCAAUCUACUUUUGCAAUAUAUAAUAUAAUAUGUGAUUAUUAUACAUUGUCGUUUUAUGAAAAAGUGGUGUGGGUAGGAUGUUGAUCUAUGGGAGCAGUUGGGUUGCGCGUGAAGAUAUUGGCAUUCUCACCAACAGACCACAGCGAAACAGAAGGACAACAACCCCAGAGAUGCAGGUUUCUGCAAGGACAUGACAAGCACAGGUCUGGGGCCGUGCUUGAAGAUAGGACCUGGACCUUUCAAUUUUGGAUAGUCAAGGAGAUUCCCCUAUCUCUGGUAGGAUGGUGGUUGGUGGCUGCCACUGCCAUUGUUGAGUUAUCAGUUUGAUUAGACUCACCGGUAGUCACCACUCGUACUUCUACAAACGCAAAACCAGCCUGUUAGAUUCAUUGGGAUGAGCAAGGGAUGGACUUGGAAGUAGUAUCUAAGGAAUGCAUCUCCAUGGACUUAGAGCCGGCAUUUGCAAGUCUUUUGCUGAUUUUUAUGACUAAUUGAGAUUGAAAUGUCAUGGUCUUUGCCUCUCUCUCCUCUGUUGAUGAUUAGAUCUUGAGGUUGGUGUAUCUGUUGGCAGCAAUGGUACGUUCUUUGGUUCGUCAAUUUCUUUCUUGUCUUUGACAGGUCUCGUCCCAAGCUAGCGAGUCUUUGAAAUUGGAAGACAAUCUCUCUAACUAUUCUCGACGGUAGCGGCGCUACACAAGCUUUAGGGCUCCUUGUUCGGGUCCCGCAGGUUUUAGAGUUAGGGUUCUAAAUGGUUGGGUUCUAAGUUAUGACAGUGGGCCUCUUAUAGAUUGGCUUUCUUUGUCUUGUCUUCAGGCCUUAGGCCUUUAUCUACUGUUCUUUGUCCUCUGAGCUUUUAAGUUAUGGGAUUUGUAUUUUAAAAAAAAAAAAAGGUGAGUGGAUAGAAUCAUUAUUUCUGAGCAAAACUUUUGCUUUUGCUGGAUAAAGCAGCCCUGCAAUUGAGAUAUGGAAACAUUUAUAAGAGAGAGUGAGGGAAUCAAUCCCAAGGCUUUUCAAGAAUCAACAUACUGCUGGCAUGAAGAUCGAAGCCAAUACUUACAACUGUAAAGAACAAGACCAACAAAGAUUCAAAAUUUAUGAAAGAAAGUCAUAGUCACUGAUUUCUUUCA